AUGUUAUUGGCAGUGUCUCAGUGGGGUAGCCCAGGAAAUUACACGCCCGCUUGGGGUAGCCCAGGAAAUUACACGCCCGCUUUGUACGUAGCUUAGCAGUUACAUUUUAUUCGGCUCGGUGAAUGGCUGCUUAGAGCACCUCGGCAAGUAAAUGUUUAAUGUGGAAAUGUACAGAAACUGUUAACACUGCAAAUCGUCCACAGAAUACAGAAGUACUAUGAUGCAAUAAUCAAACAAAAAAAAGGAUCAAUCUUUCAUAGAAGCAGGUCACACGACUGCAAAGUUUUCAUCAGAUAUGAAGAAGUUGACAUGAUUGAAUAAAGAUUUAUUUCAGUUUGGA